AACAAAUCAGGCAUUUUAAGGGUCAUGCAAUGCAUCAAACUAGAAAAAGGAUUCCCCAAAAACAAGCAAGUGGAAAACUUCCUGCAGGAAAUGGGAAGGAAGCACCUGAGCAUUUUGCAGACCUGAGAUUGCAUUCAAAUGCAUUUGCAAGGAUCCAGGCAAAAAGACUUUCCUUCUGUCCUUUCCAAUGAGACUUCAGGUGAAGGACAUUGUGUUCAUGGACACCCUGUAUAUGGCUGCUCCACUUCAGACUGUUGUCUGAGAGAUGCGAGAAGUCAAAGUGAACUUCACACUGCUGAACAUAAGCAGGGAGGAAGAGAACAGCAAUAUCUGAGAAACCCUACAGUAUGACCAGAAAAGGGCACAGACUAUUUGAGUAUGUGUUUAUUGUCAGAAGUUACUGGUGAAUGAGAUUCAAGGCAAGUUGGAAAAUGAACAACAUUCAUUUUCAAUAUCUUGAAAAAGAGCUAAGCAAGUUGUAAGUACAUGAGAUAGUAUAUGCACAAUUGAUUUUUUUCCCAUUGAUUUAUAGCCAAUUUACAAGGUGCUUUUAAGUAAAAUAGAAAAAAAU
rnacentral:lncRNA from 1 species